CUAAAAUUGCUACAAAAUCAAAACCAUAUGUGUAACCAAAUUAUGUUCCAAAUUUGAAGUUGAUAUCACAAAAAUUGUGGGUCCUAUGAGAUUUUUUUUUUUUUUUUUUAAUAUGAGUGCCGAAAGCUGCAGGAGCACAACCACACUCUUUACCACAGUACAGUGGCAUCAUUUAGAAAAUCCAGAUCUGCACAACAUCAGCUAUUCACCCUUGCAACCAUCCCGGGGAUAUCCAGACGUAUCCAUAUAGACAGCAGAGACACUCCACUGACACUCACUGAACUCAUAUGGACAUUAUGUCAUGUGUUGCAAUUAGUGUUGGGGGGAGUUACUUUCAAAAGUCAUCCAUUACAAUAUCGUGUUACUCCAAAAAAAAGUAACUAACUGCAUUAAUUAGUUACUUUUUAUUGAACGUAAUGCAUUACGUUAUAACUGUGUUACCUCCCAGUUUUAAUUUGCGUUACUUGUAAUUUUCAUUUUUGGGUUAACUAUCCAUUUAAGCUAUUUAAUUAAUCGUGCAGCCCUAUUUCACAUAGUUUUUAUCAUCAAUCAAAACCAACAUAACCUCAGACAAACUCACCUCGCCAUCUCUCCGUUCUUCUGCUCUGUGCUUGCGUCGAAGUCCUCCUCGUCUUCAUUCUCCUCCUGUUUCCCAGGCGCCUCCUCUUUCGCCCGCUCUGCCUCCUCCUGCUUCUUCAGCUGCAGUUCUUUCUGCUUCUUCGGCGGCCGUCCCCUCCGGGCGGGAGGGUUGGGCGAGACGCCAGGGCUCUUCCUAGUGCCCUUCCUAGGCGUCACAUUCAUCGCCGAGCUCUUCUUUGAGGAGCUGGAGGCGAAGACAAAGCGUCUCGCUCGCGGGAGAACAGGGAGGUGGUUCCCAGGACGGCCGAGGGCUGAGGGGGAGAGGAGAAGGGGUGCGAGGAGGCGUCUUGAUUGGGGGGGUGCGACAGCUCCAUGGCGGCUCGGACCUCGGGCUGCUGCUCGUGGUGUUUCUCCAGGUGCCUAGCGAGGGAGCGGAAGUGACGGCCGCAGUAGGGACAGUGCUGUCUGCGGGAGAGCGUGCCGCUCGCGCCGAUGUUUAUGUUUAUAUUGUUGUUUAUGUUGGUGGUGGGCGGGGCUAGAGGCUGCUGGAAGGACGGCGGUGAGGAAGGGGCGGGGCAUGUGAAGGACAGGGGGCGGGGCUGGGCUUUCUUCUUGAUGGUCGCUGAGGUUUUGCGUUUCUUGCGGCGUCUCAUCAUGCGUCCCCGCAGAUCCUCCAGGUCCUCCUCGUCGUCGUCGUCAUCGUCGUCUUCCUCCUCCUCCUCCUCCUCUCGGUCGGAGUCGCUGGCCUCGGAGUGAGACAGCGGAGAGGAGGAGGGAGACAGAGACCAGGACGGAGUGAGGUAGUCAGAAACAGUGAGAGACAGAGGCAGUGAGCCCGGCUCCUCCUCCUGCAGAGAGACACACCAGCUGUGAGACACACAGUCUCCUCAGAGAGAUAAACAUGCAGUAGAUUUAGGGCCUGGUGACUACAAGACAAACUUUCAGUGUGAAGAUGAUUUUAUUGUUGUUUGACAAACAUCGCAGCAGAUUGUUUUUAGUCUCGUGGUAUAGGAUUUUAUUUUGUUGAUUGGAAUUAAUAAUUUGAAUUAGAUUUUUUCUAUUUUUUUAUUUUUGUUGUGUUUUUUUUUAAUCAGUUUUUAUUAAGCUUUU
ensembl:lncRNA